rnacentral:rRNA from 1 species
GUGGGCAAUCUGCCCUUCACUCUGGGACAAGCCCUGGAAACGGGGUCUAAUACCGGAUACGACUGCGGGAGGCAUCUCCUGUGGUGGAAAGCUCCGGCGGUGAAGGAUGAGCCCGCGGCCUAUCAGCUUGUUGGUGGGGUAAUGGCCCACCAAGGCGACGACGGGUAGCCGGCCUGAGAGGGCGACCGGCCACACUGGGACUGAGACACGGCCCAGACUCCUACGGGAGGCAGCAGUGGGGAAUAUUGCACAAUGGGCGAAAGCCUGAUGCAKCGACGCCGCGUGAGGGAUGACGGCCUUCGGGUUGUAAACCUCUUUC